rnacentral:rRNA from 1 species
UACGGAGGGUGCGAGCGUUGUCCGGAAUCAUUGGGCGUAAAGGGCGCGUAGGUGGCGGGACAAGCGUGCGGUGAAAGCCUGGGGCUCAACCCCGGGUCGGCCGUGCGAACUGUUUUGCUUGAGCACUGUAGAGGCAGGCGGAAUUCCGGGUGUAGCGGUGGAAUGCGUAGAGAUCCGGAAGAACACCGGUGGCGAAGGCGGGUCUCUGGGCCGAUACUGACGCUGAGGAGCGAAAGCGUGGGGAGCGAACAGG